GAGGGUAUAGCUUAGUGGUAAAGCUCUUGCCUAGCAUGUGUGAGGCCCAGGGUUUAAUCCCCAGUACAAUUU
rnacentral:tRNA from 1 species